rnacentral:rRNA from 1 species
CGAUGGUUCUAUUUUGUUGGUUCUAGGACCGUUGUAAUGAUUAAUAGGGAUAGUUGGGGGCAUUAGUAUUUAAUUGUCAGAGGUGAAAUUCUUGGAUUUAUUGAAGACUAACUACUGCGAAAGCAUUUGCCAAGGAUGUUUUCAUUAAUCAAGAACGAAAGUUAGGGGAUCGAAGACGAUCAGAUACCGUCGUAGUCUUAACCAUAAACUAUGCCGACUAGGGAUCGGAUGAUGUUAAUUUUAUAAUGACUCAUUCGGCGCCUUACGGGAAACCAAAGUGUUUGGGUUCCGGGGGGAGUAUGGUCGCAAGGCUGAAACUUAAAGGAAUUGACGGAAGGGCACCACCAGGGGUGGAGCCUGCGGCUUAAUUUGACUCAACACGG